UACGGAGGGGGUUAGCGUUGUUCGGAAUUACUGGGCGUAAAGCGCGCGUAGGCGGCCAUUCAAGUCAGAGGUGAAAGCCCGGGGCUCAACCCCGGAACUGCCUUUGAAACUAGAUGGCUAGAAUCUUGGAGAGGCGAGUGGAAUUCCGAGUGUAGAGGUGGAAUUCGUAGAUAUUCGGAAGAACACCAGUGGCGAAGGCGACUCGCUGGACAAGUAUUGACGCUGAGGCGCGAAAGCGUGGGGAGCAAACAGG
rnacentral:misc_RNA from 1 species